GACGAACGCUGGCGGCGCGCUUAACACAUGCAAGUCGAACGGAAAGGCCUGCUUUCCCUUGUGGAUUGCGGGUACUCGAGUGGCGAACGGGUGAGUAACACGUGAGUGAUCUGCCCCCAACUUGGGUAUAAGCCUGGGAAACUGGGUCUAAUUCCCGAUAGGACUGCAGGGUGGUGCCUGUGGUGGAAAACGAUUUUCUAGUGGUUGGGGAUGAGCUCGCGGCCUAUCAGCUUGUUGGUGGGGUAAUGGCCUACCAAGGCGGCGACGGGUAGCCGGCCUGAGAGGGUGGACGGCCACAUUGGGACUGAGAUACGGCCCAGACACCUACGGGAGGCAGCAGUGGGGAAUAUUGCACAAUGGGCGGAAGCCUGAUGCAGCGACGCCGCGUGGGGGAUGACGGCCUUCGGGUGGUAAACUCCUUUCGACCGCGAGGAAGCCACCUGGUUGGAAGGGUGGUGACGGUAGUGGUAGAAGAAGCACCGGCUAACUACGUG
rnacentral:rRNA from 1 species